GACGAACGCUGGCGGCGUGCCUAACACAUGCAAGUCGAACGGAGUUGAGAAGGAGCUUGCUUCUUUUCAACUUAGUGGCGGACGGGUGAGUAACGCGUGAGGAACCUGCCUUUCAGAGGGGGAUAACGUCUGGAAACGGACGCUAAUACCGCAUGACAUCGGAGAGUCACAUGGCCUUCCGAUCAAAGGAGCAAUCCGCUGAGAGAUGGACUCGCGUCCGAUUAGCCAGUUGGCGGGGUAAAGGCCCACCAAAGCAACGAUCGGUAGCCGGGCUGAGAGGCUGAACGGCCACAUUGGGACUGAGACACGGCCCAGACUCCUACGGGAGGCAGCAGUGGGGGAUAUUGCACAAUGGAGGAAACUCUGAUGCAGCAACGCCGCGUGAGGGAAGACGGUUUUCGGAUUGUAAACCUCUGUCCUCGGUGACGAUAAUGACGGUAGCCGAGGAGGAAGCUCCGGCUAACUACGUG
rnacentral:rRNA from 1 species